CACUCGGUACGGAACCCUCUCGUUAAUGUGCACGACAGAAACUAUAGCACCGCUUGCACAGAGAGUACUAGGCAGAACCAGCUAGAAGCUGCCUGCCCUUCUUUUAUCGGCGCGCCAGACGAUACUUUACUUAAAGAAAUCUGCGCGGCAAUGACAAGUCCAGUGUCUCGAAGAUCAUAACCACCUAGUGUCUCUCCAUUGAUAGAUGAUUGAUUGACGGGUGGGUGGCUGGCUGGAUAUAAUUAUCGAGUGGAUGCGUAACGUGAUCGCAGACGCGUUCAGGUCAGUAAAGGUUACUUGUUUAUAGAUUAAAAGCAAUGUUGAUACUAUGUUCAAGCCGAAGGAGCAUAGAGGAUCGUGUCGUGUAAGGUGAUGGGGUGCAUCCGAUCUAGGCGUGAAAAUGCUAAUGCUCCCGUUGUUCGACCUGCCAGAGUGACCCGAUCUCGUCGCGACGCGAACAGGUUAAGGUAGCUUUGCCAUACCUGCCAACAUCUACCUACCUAUUUAUCAGCCAACCCACUGCAGUCGUUAGGGCGAGUACACAGAUCUACGGGACAUCGCGUUCGAGUGCGCCGACAGUUUUGAGGGAUCUCGGCCGGAAAAAGAAACCAGCGGCCGGACGUGACGAGUCGACGAGCCGGGAAGCCGAGGACUCGUGAGACGGAAAAGGAAGAAUGGGAAAAAAGGAGGAAAAAGGAGAAGUAGGAAGAAAACGAUCGGCGAGCCGGUGCACGGUGCUUACAGAGCCGUGCGUGCGUGCAUGCGUGCUGCCGUGUCUCUGUAUUGUGUACACCUUGGUACGUAGGCCAAGACAGCGGAUGCGGGUGGGCGGACCGGGAUCGUGGGCCCAAGUGCGAGAGAACGAAGGUAGGGCCCACGCUGAAACGAGCACCGGUAAUUAAGCGAGCACCUCGCUAUGGACUCGCCGUUAAAAAGGACUGAAACCUAUUCCGAACUGCACGGUACUUGGAAGAGAGCUACGUGCAAUGAACAGGGCCUAAGGAAUGGAAAAAACAGCAGGCAUACUUCGAUUCCUACCAGCAAAAUACUACGUGGACUGGAAUUCCUCAUUUGAAUUUAUUAUCCAGCUUCUCUCGUUCCAUCAGAUUUCUUCGUCCCCUGACAAUUGUUACGAGAGGAUGGCAGCGCGCAUUACGAUCCCACGUCUACGACGAAUCGUGUAAGGGCGCGUACCGCGACACGGGAGCUGGUUAUCCGGGCGAAGUGUAUGUAUAGGAUAGCAGGGGACCCGUGCGUACAACCCGGGCCUUAUACGGGCCCCGAUACCGACAUCGUCCCGGCAAAAAGAAUCUUACCGCACCACGGCAGUUCGAUACUUUUCGAUGGGCCUUACGAAGAAUCUCGAAGGAAAAAUAGAAGUGGGCCCUUACCGUGUACGGAAGACUCGAUCAACAGCGUAACGAGAUUAAAAGGGAAGACAAAUUUCUUGAGCUACCUUUUUCAUUGCCUCUGGCAUAUUGUGAACUCGUUCCCGUGCAUUUAUCUCAAACCCCCUGUGUACGUACCUACAUUGAAGCCAAUUGACGCGUGGGCAAAGUUAAACGUUAAAUCGCUCAGCUAAUCGUCCCGAUAGGAAACUACGUCGAGAUUGAACGCCCACGCAUAAAUUUCCUGCAAGACACAGAGACGCACUGGCAGCCGUUUCGUAAGGCCCUUGGAUUUCGUAGGAGCCACGUCAUCCGGCAGGUAGUAGGUCCCAGGGCCCCGUAGACUCUCUGGAAUCUUCACGUGCACAUAGAAACGCCAUCUCCCCCGUCCGUAUCGUAUCUCUCAUCCAAUGAGAAGCUUACAAAUCCGUUCCGCGCGUUUCAAGGACACCGAUGUAGUCCUCCAAACAACACUGGGGAUUCAUUUUCGGCUGCCGAAUACCCGGCAUUCCUCUCGUCCACUUGAACCCUAUAAACACUAAACAGGAUCGUGAUACGUAUCACGCGGGACCACCUAUGCGCGUUAUAACCAAACAAAAUUCACACGGAAGCCAGAAAACCGUUAACUGCAAUUUAUUACGGCGUCCAAAGAGGAAAGUCGAUUCAUCGUUAUUAGACGUUCGUGCGGAUUCGAAGCUAACGACUGCCUGGUACGCGCAUGCGCACAACGUGCGCUUAUUACGUACAGAAGUCUAGUUCGCCCACGUGACUCGGAAUACGGAAUACGCUCGCGUAAAACAGAAAGAAAAACAUUGGCAAACGCGCCCUCCUGACCAACUGCUAGGAGACAGUGGAGAUCAGCAGGACGAGUUACGAGUUCGUACGUGAACGAAUUAAGUCGGUCCGUGUCCCGCGUGUCAUGACUAUCCUGAAUGGUCCUCGGCUCACGUAAAUGCACUCGUGUUAACUCCGAUACACCCUGGAUUAAAUGUAUAGGCAGCAUGACGAUACGUACGUACGUGCUAUGUACAAGAUACGCGCUUCGAUCGCCCACGCAGCUCCCACGUAUCUCUAUCCCUACCCUGGGACAUUCGUCGACUCGUUCGUUCAUUCAUUCGUUCAUUCCUUCUUUCAUUCACGGCUUGAUACGCUUCGAUCGCGAAUGCCUCGCUCUUUCUACAUCGUAUCUGUGGACACGUUCCAUACGCAUAUUGCGUACAGUGAGAAGCUGCUUGCCGACAUAACCUCAGCUAAGUUAACGAACCCAGUGUCGCUUUUCUUGGCUGUGGCAAAUACCAUUUUCUGGAGGUAGAAAAUCAUGUAACAGGUUAUGACGUGACUAGUUGUAUAUAAAUAUUUCAUAUAUACAUAUAUUGUAUAGAGAGUGAGAGAGACAGACAGAGAGAGAGAGAGAGUAAUAUAUUGUAAAAAAUAAUUUACGAACUCACCGAUUAACAUCUACUUGCAUUUCCAUUUUUUGCUCAUGGAGGAAAACAUACGUGGUCAAGAUACUGAAUCUCUCAGGGCGCCGAAGGGCAGCUACGUUUUACCUAAGCGUACGUGCCGCACGUCAACUACGUGUCCCGCAUGGCACCGUAAUCUCUGAUCCCUUUAAAGAGAUUACGUUGGACGUUGAUGCUCGCUUUGGCUUCCAUGCUAUGGUAUACAAAUAGUAUGGCCUAUCCCUCUUACUUGGAGACAUUCGAGGACGUUUGCCUUUAUGCGAGACAAGAGUCACGUGAGCGGGGUCCUCGUUAGCGCCGGAUUAACCUAACGAAUUUACGUUCCUUCCGGCUAUCAAUCCUCCACGAGGGAUCAUCGAUCGGAAUAGACGGACGCUAAAGGGAUUUACGUAUACGUAAGAGGAGACCGAUUGGGAAAUUAAUAGAAUGUCCAGACGGCGCCAGCUCUGAUAAAACUUAUCGGGUAUACCUAUACUCGUGGGGCCUCGAGAUGGUCUUCCGAGAGGCUCGCUUUGUCUCUCUCUAUUCUAUGCUUUUUAUUAUCAUUAUUUUACAGGAAGAACGACUUUACUCGUUCGUUGUUAAUACUUGCGAUAGUUAAGAAUUAUAAUCGGAUAACGGUUCAAGACGUACGUGUUACUCCUAUACGAAUCGUCGAACGAUUUUUAAUCGGCUGCGGCUUUGUUAACUCGCCGCAAUGGGAUAUCAACUGGCGCCUCUCGUACGACUACAUCUCAUAAUCCCUGUAUAAUGCUCGUGCGAUAUAUUGUGUAUACUGAAAUACAAAGAAGCUCGUAUUCGCGAUUAGAUUAGUACGGAACCAGUGACUGAUGAUAGAAGUCACAUUGUUAAAUGAUAUUUGCGUCCUUGAAGAGAGAUUACGAUGAGACUGAUUCAUGUUUGAUCCGUUAAAAUAUGUUUGUUUAUUAAAUUAAAAUAUGUUUGUU